UACGGGGGGGGCAAGCGUUGUUCGGAAUUACUGGGCGUAAAGGGCUCGUAGGUGGCCAACUAAGUCGGACGUGAAAUCCCUCGGCUUAACUGAGGACGUGCGGAAGAAACUGCAAGGCUCGAGUCCGGGAGAGGGGGGUGGAAUUCCCAGUGUAGCGGUGAAAUGCGUAGAUAUUGGGAGGAACACCGGUGGCGAAGGCGGCCCCCUGGACCGGUACUGACGCUGAGGCGCGAAAGCGUGGGUAGCAAACGGG
rnacentral:rRNA from 1 species